rnacentral:rRNA from 1 species
GUGGGGAAUUUUGGACAAUGGGCGCAAGCCUGAUCCAGCAAUGCCGCGUGCAGGAAGAAGGCCUUCGGGUUGUAAACUGCUUUUGUACGGAACGAAACGGUCCUGGCUAAUAUCCGGGGCUAAUGACGGUACCGUAAGAAUAAGCACCGGCUAACUAUGUGCCAGCAGCCGCGGUAAUACGUAGGGUGCGAGCGUUAAUCGGAAUUAUUGGGCGUAAAGCGUGCGCAGGCGGUGCUGUAAGACAGGCGUGAAAUCCCCGGGCUCAAGCUGAGAAUUGCGCUUGUGACUGCAGUGCUGGAGUGCGGCAGAGGGGGAUGGAAUUCCGCGUGUAGCAGUGAAAUGCGUAGAUAUGCGGAGGAACACCGAUGGCGAAGGCAAUCCCCUGGGCCUGCACUGACGCUCAUGCACGAAAGCGUGGGGAGCAAACAGGAUUAGAAACCCCUGUAGUCC